rnacentral:snRNA from 1 species
AUACCUUCUCGGCCUUCUGGCUAAGAUCAAGUGUAGUAUCUGUUCUAAUCAGUGUGAAAACUGAUUUCCUCGUUUUAAACGGGGUUCUUUUUCACAUUUAUUUUUGAACGUUCUCGGUAGUCGGGGCUUGCUCCGAGUUACUGGGACGGGUCUCCCGGGGGUUGCACCACCACCCCGGCGAGGCCUAACACGU